AUUGCUCAUGCUCGACACAGACAGGAUGGAGUUCUCUGUUGUCAACCUACCCAUUGAGCCCUGGCCCGAAGAGUAUGAGAUGACCUUUGUGGAGGGAGCUAAAGGAAGACUUGGGAUGUUUACUAUCUUCGACGAUUUUGAUGAGAAACAAGGUGGUGUAGUAUUUCACCUUUGGUAUGGCAUACUGCGAAAUGAUGGGGACCGCGCAAAGUUGUGGCAAGCAAAGGCGAUGAUCUCCUUGCCUUUAUCGUAUCGGCACUAUAGAAUUGCGGGUGUUGCUGGGGGAUACCUGCUCCUGCAAGGUAUUCCAAAAGACCUGCUCUUGACAUCACCUUCGGCAGAGGGUAAAGAAACGGUUUGUUUUUCAUUGAAUCUUCAGACUCUCGAGCUUGAGCGGUUCUGUGGGAUUGCGGACAAGACUUACGAAGAGCACCUGUAUGCUGGUUUCCCAGCAUCCUUGUCUGUACCAACAAUUUAAUGCGAUUAGCAUCUUCAUACUGCAGUGCUCCUUUGUACAUAAAAAAACUUACAGUUCUUCUUAAUUUAAGGCUUUAAUCUGCAUUAUGGGGUCUUAUUUUGUGUCAGACUGUUGGUUUGGAGUGCAAGGAUGGCGACUAGACU